rnacentral:rRNA from 1 species
CAUGUAGGCGGCUCGUCAAGUCUGAUGUGAAAGCCCUGGGCUCAACCCAGGAAGUGCAUUGGAAACUGGCGAACUUGAGUACGGGAGAGGAAAGUGGAAUUUCGAGUGUAGGGGUGAAAUCCGUAGAUAUUCGAAGGAACACCAGUGGCGAAGGCGGCUUUCUGGACCGAUACUGACGCUGAGGCUCGAAAGCGUGGGUAGCAAACA